rnacentral:misc_RNA from 1 species
UCGAUUCUGAAGGAUGUGCUGGCUUUAAUUGCAUGUGCACUCCGAAAUCUUAUUCACCUGUGAACUUAUUGUAGUUAUUGGCAGAGAAGGGUUCGCCCUUUAAAGUCUUUGACUAUGUUUUUAUACACACUUAAUAAUUUAAAGAAUGUUUACUUGACUUGAUUAAACCCAAGUUAAAAAUCUAAAA